rnacentral:tRNA from 1 species
GCAUUGGUGGUUCAGUGGUAGAAUUCUCACCUUCUAUGUGGGAGACCUGGGUUCGAUUCCCGGCCAUUGCA